rnacentral:rRNA from 1 species
UACGUAGGGUGCGAGCGUUGUCCGGAAUUACUGGGCGUAAAGAGCUCGUAGGUGGUUUGUCGCGUUGUUCGUGAAAACUCACAGCUCAACUGUGGGCGUGCGGGCGAUACGGGCAGACUGGAGUACUGCAGGGGAGACUGGAAUUCCUGGUGUAGCGGUGGAAUGCGCAGAUAUCAGGAGGAACACCGGUGGCGAAGGCGGGUCUCUGGGCAGUAACUGACGCUGAACUGCGAAAGCUAGGGGAGCGAACGGG